rnacentral:rRNA from 1 species
UUUCCAGACUCCUACGGGAGGCAGCAGUGAGGAAUAUUGGGCAAUGGGGGCAACCCUGACCCAGCCAUGCCGCGUGAGUGAAGAAGGUCUUCGGAUUGUAAAGCUCUUUCGGACGUGACGAUGAUGACGGUAGCGUCUAAAGAAGCACCGGCAAACUUCGUGCCAGCAGCCGCGGUAAUACGUAGGGGGCAAGCGUUAUCCGGAUUUACUGGGUGUAAAGGGAGCGUAGACGGCAUGGCAAGUCUGGUGUGAAAGGCAGGGGCUCAACCCCUGGACUGCAUUGGAAACUGUCAGGCUGGAGUGCAGGAGAGGUAAGUGGAAUUCCUAGUGUAGCGGUGAAAUGCGUAGAUAUUAGGAGGAACACCAGUGGCGAAGGCGACUUACUGGACUGUAACUGACGUUGAGGCUCGAAAGCGUGGGGAGCAAACAGGAUUAGAUACCCUCGUA